rnacentral:rRNA from 1 species
AGGAUGAACGCUGGCGGCGUGCCUAAGACAUGCAAGUCGAGUGGGUUUAGACCCACGGCGAACGGGUGAGUAAUACAUAGGAAUUUUCCUUAAGUUAAGAAUACCCUUCCGAAAGGAAGUACAAUACUUAAUGUGAUCGCAAGAUUAAAGCCGCAAGGCGCUUAAGGUGAAGCCUGUGCACUAUCAGCUAGUUGGUAAGGUAAUGGCUUACCAAGGCUAUGACAGUUAGCGGGCCCGAGAGGGUGAUCCGCCACACUGGGACUGCGACACGGCCCCAGACUCCUACGGGAGGCAGCAGUUUGGAAUUUUGGUCAAUGGGGGAAACCCUGAACCAGCGACGCCGCGUGGACGAUGAAGGUCUUCGGAUCGUAAAGUCCUUUUGGCAGGGAAAAUCUUUGAUUGUACCUGCAGAAUAAGAGGUUGCUAACUCUGCGCCAGCAGCCGC